rnacentral:misc_RNA from 1 species
GAUGAAGAACGUAGCGAAAUGCGAUAAGUAAUGUGAAUUGCAGAAUUCAGUGAAUCAUCGAAUCUUUGAACGCACCUUGCGCCUUUUGGUAUUCCGAAAGGCACACCUGUUUGAGCGUCAUGAAUACCUCAAUCUCCAUCUUUUCUUCGGAUUGAUGGGUGACUUGGAUGUUGAGCCCUGCUGGUAUGCUAUAUCAGCUGGCUUUAAACUUAUUAGCCGGCUCUGUACUGGAUCGGUUUGACUCGACGUGAUAAUAUUAUCGUUGAGGAUGCAUGUCUCAUGCAGCCGGGAAGUAUCAAAGCAGCUUCUAGCUUGCCUUUAGUGCACUUUUACAUUUUAGACCUCAGAUCAGGUGGGACUACCCGCUGAACUUAAGCAUAUCAAUAAGCGGAGGA